CAGCCGGUAAGUCAGGUGCCGAGGCUGGAAAGACUCUGUGCCAGACCCAUUGGCAGUUGGCCCUUCAGCUGCUGUACAGCCUCGGUAGGGGCCCAGGGGUAUUGAAUCUGGUUUUGGACCACAGGAGGAGAGUGAAGUGAAGUACAACCAAUAUUGUCAACAGCAAGAUCGUCAAAUGAAAGCAAGUGAAGGAAACUGGUAAAGAAAAUUUGGGAAGAGCUGAGGGAACAGCCUUCUAAGGCAAGAGUUGCUUUCUACUGUACCAUGAGUCCAACUAAGCCUAUCUAAAAUAGGGCUGGUGAUACACACUUCUCUCAUCUGGAGCUUCAUGGGUGAAUUCCAAAUUCUUCUGUCCCAUGAUCUGCAUCAAGGCAUCUAAUUUAUACUUAAAAGCUUUUGUUACUAAAUUUGGACUCUGUCCAAAAUAACCACUCACUGCAUGCUGUUAUUGCCUACCAUUAUUUUUAAAAAAAUACUUUUCAUAAUCUGAAGCUAUCCGGUAUUGAAUGUUUACCAUGAGUUUCCUGCUGCUAGAAGGUAAACUUAGUGAGAACAGAGACACAAAUAACUUUUUUUCACUAUCGCAUCCUCAUUGCCUAGAAGAGUGCCUGGCGUACAGAAGACAGUCAAUAGAUAUCAGUUGAAUAAAUGAAUGACCUAGCAUAGUAGACAUUCAAUAAAUAUCAGUUGAAUGAAUGAAUGAGCCGACAUAUAGUAGGCAUUCUAUAAAUAUCAGUUGAAUGAAUGACGAACAGCAGGAAAGAGAUAAAGUGAUGGUAAAGAGUGAUUGAGCAUGGAAUGAGCGGUUUUCUUUGUGUGUGUGUGUGUGUGUGUGUGUGUGUGUGUUUUGUAACAGAUAAUUAGAAAAUACCUUUUCUGAGCAACUGAUGACAUUUGACCAGAACUGGAAUGAUGAAAGCAGGACUAUUUUAUCUACUAGGAAUUAUAAGCAUAAUGCCUGUGACUAAGAGUUUUUCAGCACCUGGGAAAGUGUUUCAGGCCUGGAAAAAUAUUACUGGCAUUAAUUUAUGAAAAGAAUACAGCAAAAUUGAAACCAACAAUAUUUAUUUAAAUGCAUAC
rnacentral:lncRNA from 1 species